UAUUGGGCAAUGGGGGAAACCCUGACCCAGCAACGCCGCGUGAAGGAAGAAGGCUUUCGGGUUGUAAACUUCUUUUACCAGGGACGAAGAAAGUGACGGUACCUGGAGAAAAAGCUCCGGCUAACUACGUGCCAGCAGCCGCGGUAAUACGUAGGGAGCGAGCGUUGUCCGGAUUUACUGGGUGUAAAGGGCGGGUAGGCGGAGCUGCAAGUCAGAAGUGAAAUCCCCGGGCUCAACCCGGGAACUGCUUUUGAAACUGUAGCCCUCGAGUAUCGGAGAGGCAGGCGGAAUUCCUAGUGUAGCGGUGAAAUGCGUAGAUAUUAGGAGGAACACCAGUGGCGAAGGCGGCCUGCUGGACGACAACUGACGCUGAGGCGCGAAAGCGUGGGGAGCAAACAGG
rnacentral:rRNA from 1 species